GGGGCUGUAGCUCAGUGGCAGAGCGCAUGCCUACCAUGUGUGGGGCACUGGGUUAGAUCCUCAGCACCCCA
rnacentral:tRNA from 1 species